rnacentral:rRNA from 1 species
AGAGUUUGAUCCUAGCUCAGGAUGAACGCUCGCUGUGUGCCUAAUACAUGCAUGUUGAACGGGAUGUAGCAAUACAUUCAGUAGCGAAUGGGUGAGUAACACGUACCUAACCUACCUUUAAGACUGGGAUAACUAUUGGAAACAAUAGCUAAUACCGGAUAUAGUUAUUUAUCGCAUGAUGAGUAAUAGAAAGGAGCUUCACAGCUUCACUUAAAAAUGGGGGUGCGGAACAUUAGUUAGUUGGUAGGGUAAUGGCCUACCAAGACGAUGAUGUUUAGCCGGGCCGAGAGGCUGUACGGCCACACUGGGACUGAGAUACGGCCCAGACUCCUACGGGAGGCAGCAGUAAGGAAUUUUCCACAAUGAGCGAAAGCUUGAUGGAGCGACACAGCGUGCAGGAUGAAGUUCUUCGGAAUGUAAACUGCUGUUAUAAGGGAAGAAAAAAUAGAAUAGGAAAUGAUUUUAUCUUGACGGUACCUUAUUAGAAAGCGACGGCAAACUAUGUGCCAGCAGCCGCGGUAAUACAUAGGUCGCAAGCGUUAUCCGGAAUUAUUGGGCGUAAAGCGUCCGUAGGUUUUUUGCUAAGUCUGGAGUUAAAUGCUGAAGCUCAACUUCAGUCCGCUUUGGAUACUGGCAAAAUAGAAUUAUAAAGAGGUUAGCGGAAUUCCUAGUGAAGCGGUGGAAUGCGUAGAUAUUAGGAAGAACACCAAUAGGCGAAGGCAGCUAACUGGUUAUAUAUUGACACUAAGGGACGAAAGCGUGGGGAGCAAACAGGAUUAGAUACCCUGGUAGUCCACGCCGUAAACGAUGAUCAUUAGUUGGUGGAAUAAUUUCACUAACGCAGCUAACGCGUUAAAUGAUCCGCCUGAAU